rnacentral:tRNA from 1 species
GGGCGCGUAGCUCAGUCGGACAGAGCGUCGGACUUCUAAUCCGAUGGUCGCGGGUUCGAAUCCCGUCGCGCCCG